ensembl:lncRNA
GAGAGAUGUGAAAGAUGAGGUGGAGAGACGUGAGAGACGAGGUGGAGAGACGUGAGAGACGAGGUGGAGAGACGUGAAAGACGAGGUGGAGAGACGAGGUGGAGAGACGAGGUGGAGAGACGAGGUGGAGAGACGAGGUGAAGAGACGAGGUGGAGAGACGAGGUGGAGAGACGAGGUGAAGAGACGAGGUGGAGAGACGAGGUGGAGAGACGAGGUGGAGAGAGAGACGAGGUGGAGAGACGUGGUGGAGAGACGUGGUGGAGAGACGAGAUGAAGAGACGAGGUGGAGAGACGAGGUGGAGAGACGAGGUGGAGAGACGAGGUGGAGAGACAAGGUGGAG